rnacentral:lncRNA from 1 species
UUUUAAAAAAAUUAUGAAUCAAUAAUAUUAAUAUAAAAUUUUAUCCAAAAAAUUCAACAAUAAAUGUAUAAACAAAAAGACAAACAAACCCUAAACCCUAUAAUCCUAAACAUUAUUUUAAACCAAACCUAAAUCCAACCUAAACCAAACGCUAAACCUUUCCUACUACCUAAACCCUAAAUCUUACCUAACCCUAAACCCUACCUAAACCUAGAACUUAACCCUAUCUAACCCUAAACCCUACAUAAACCUAACACUAAUCCCUAAACCCUUCCUACUACCUAAACACUAAACCUAUCUAACCAUAAACCUACUUAACCCUAAACGUAAACCCUACCUAACCCUAAACCCUAUUUAACCUUAAACCCUACCUAACCCUAAACCCUACCUAACCCUAAAACCCUACCUAAAACCUAGAGUUUAGGGUUAGAAAGGGUUUAGUGUUAGAAAGGUUUUUGGUUAGGUAGGGUUUAGGUUAGGAAAGGUUAGUAGGGUUUAGGGUUAUGUAGGGUUUGGUUAGGUAGGGUUUAGGGUUAGUAGGGUUACCCCUAACCCUAACCCCUACCUACCCCUAAGCCCUACCUAACCCUAAAACCCUACCUAAAACCUAGAGUUUAGGGUUAGAAAGGGUUUAGGGUUAGUAGGGUUUAGGGUUAGGUAGGGCUUAGGGUUAGGUAGGGUUUAGGGUUAGGGUUAACCCUACUAACCCUAAACCCUUUCUAAUCCUAAACCCUACCUAACCCUAAACCCUACCUACCCUAAACCCUUUCUAACCCUAAACCCUGCCGAACCCUAAACCCUACCUAACCCUAAACCUUUUCUAACCCUAAACCCUGCCUAACCCUAAAUCCUACCUAACCCUAAACCCUUUCUAACCCUAAACAUUUUCUAGGCCUAAAUCUUACUAACCUUAAACCCUUUGUAACCCUAAACCCUGCUAAACCUAAACCCUUCCUAAUUCAAAACCCUACCUAACCCUAGCCCUACAUAACCUUAAACCCUACUAACCUGCAAACCCUAAACCCUACCUAAUUCUAAACACUACAUAACCCUAAACCCUACUAACCCUAAAACCUACCUAACCUAAACCCUACCUAACUCUAAAACCUUUCUAACCCUAAACCCUAAGUAACCCUAACCCUAAACCCUACUAACCCUAAACCCGACCUAACCCUACAUAACCCCAAACCCUACUAACCUUUCUUAACCUAAACCCUACCUAACCUAAAACCUUUCUAACCCUAAACCCUUUCUAGUCCUAAACCAUACCUAACCCUAAAUCCUACCUAACCUUAAACCCUAAACCCUUUCUAACCCUAAAUCCUACCUAACCUUAAACCCUAAACCCUUUCUAACCCUAAAUCCUACCUAACCUUAAACCCUAAACCCUUUCUAACCCUAAAUCCUACCUAACCUUAAACCCUAAACCCUUUCUAACCCUAAACCCUUUCUAACCCUAAACCCUACCUAACCCUAAACCCUACCUAAUUUUAAACCCUACCUAACCCUACACUCUACCUUACCCUAAACCCUUUCUAACCCUAAACCCUUUCUAAUCCUAAACCCUACAUAACCCUAACCCUACAUAACCCUAAACCCUACCUCCUAAACCAUACCUAACCCUAAACCUUACCUAACCCUAAACCCUACCUACACUAAACACUACCUAACCCUAAACCCUACCUAGCCCUAAACCCUACUAACCCUAAACCCUAAUUAACCCAAAACCCUACCUAAUUCUAAACCCUACCUAACCCUAAAUCCUACAAACCCUAAACCCUACAUACCCUAAACCCUACCUAACCCUAAAUCCUUCCUAACCCUAAACCCUAAAAACCUUACAUAACCAUAAACCUUACCUAACCCUAAACCCUGAUAACCCUAAACCCUGCCUAAACCUAACCCUAAAACCCUACCUAAACCUAACCCUAAAAC